UCUUCCCUCUGUCGGCGUGCCUAAUACAUGCAAGUCGAGCGAACAGACGAGUAGCUUUCUCCUCGUACGUUAGCGGUGGACAAGUGAUGAGUAAGUGGAUAACCUCCCUAGAAGAAUGGGAGGACUUCGGGAAAACGGAGCGAAUACCAGAUAAUAUAGUAUACCGGAUGGUUCAAUAGUGAAAGGCGGUUUUUCUGUCACUGAUAGAUGGAUUCGCUCCGCAUUAGCUAGUUGGUAAGGUAACGGCUUACCAAGGCGACGAUGCGUAGCCGACCUGAGAGGGUGAUAGGCCACCAUGGAACUGAGGCACGGUCACGACUACUACGGGAGGCAGCAGUAGGGAAUGUUACGCAAUGGGCGAAAGCAUGACGGAGCAACGCAGAGUCAGUGGUGAUGGUCUUCUGAUCGUAAAGCUCUGUUAUUGAGGAAGAACAACUGUGUAAGUAACUAUGCACGUAUUGACGGUACCUACACAGAAAGCGACGGCUAACUACGUG
rnacentral:rRNA from 1 species